GAUGAACGCUGGCGGCGUGCUUAACACAUACAAGUCGAACGGAAAGGCCACAGCUUGCUGUGGUACUCGAGUGGCGAACGGGUGAGUAACACGUGGGUGAUCUGCCCUGUACUUCGGGAUAAGCUUGGGAAACUGGGUCUAAUACCGGAUAGGAAUCACAUGUGGGUGUGUGGUUGGAAAGCUUUUGCGGUAUGGGAUGAGCUCGCGGCCUAUCAGCUUGUUGGUGGGGUAAUGGCCUACCAAGGCGUCGACGGGUAGCCGGCCUGAGAGGGUGUACGGCCACAUUGGGACUGAGAUACGGCCCAGACUCCUACGGGAGGCAGCAGUGGGGAAUAUUGCACAAUGGGCGCAAGCCUGAUGCAGCGACGCCGCGUGGGGGAUGACGGCCUUCGGGUUGUAAACUCCUUUCGUCAGGGACGAAGCGAAAGUGACGGUACCUGGAUAAGAAGCACCGGCUAACUACGUG
rnacentral:rRNA from 1 species